CUGCAGGCCCUUUGGUGAGGACUCUGUCAAAUGACCGACUGUUGGUGUUUAUGCUGAUAAGGAGACAGGCACUUAGCUGCUUCACACCCUGGAUUUAAAUAUGCAUCACUAUCACAUUAACUGGGGACCUCAUUGGCAACCUUGCUGAGAUGUGCUUGAGGGCUUCUACCAGGAGUGCCAGAGAUCCAUCUUGUUCUGCAUUAGCCAGGAGGUGCCCUUGAGAAGUGCUUUACAUUGUCUUCAUUGAGUUCGACAGUGAAAAAAAGCUCCGAAGGGACCAUGCAUGAAGCAGUAUAGAGGUUUGACAUCUCACUGAGUAUCUGGAGCACAAAGGGAAAAUGACAGAAUUGCAUACUACAAAAAGAAAAACAAAACAAAACUGUACAUGCAAAACUUUCAGCAUUAUUUUGCAGGCAUACAUCAGGUUGUUUUGACAAAGAUUAAGAAAAGUGGGGGAAAUUUGGGGCACACAGCUAAACCAAACUGAAGCUCUCUCGUGGCAGCUGAGUAUCGCUUUUCUAGGCUACAGAUGACACCUUUUUCAGGUAUGGAGAAGACACUGUUGUACUGUUACAAAUGGGAAAUAAUUCUAAUCUGUGGCGCUCAGAUCUGAAAUCAAAUUUGCCCAGAAUCCAACCCUCUUUCAGUUUAACCCUGAAUGCCUGGAUCCUCUGCAGCACAAUGGUCAAAAAGACAUUCAAGA